rnacentral:rRNA from 1 species
CAGUCGCCGCGGUAAUACAGAGGGUGCGAGCGUUAAUCGGAUUUACUGGGCGUAAAGCGUGCGUAGGCGGCUUCUUAAGUCGGAUGUGAAAUCCCUGAGCUUAACUUAGGAAUUGCAUUCGAUACUGGGAAGCUAGAGUAUGGGAGAGGAUGGUAGAAUUCCAGGUGUAGCGGUGAAAUGCGUAGAGAUCUGGAGGAAUACCGAUGGCGAAGGCAGCCAUCUGGCCUAAUACUGACGCUGAGGUACGAAAGCAUGGGGAGCAAACAGGAUUAGAUACCCGGGUAGUCCCUGUCUCUUAUAA